rnacentral:misc_RNA from 1 species
GAUGAAGAACGUAGCGAAAUGCGAUAAGUAAUGCGAAUUGCAGAAUUUCCGUGAGUCAUCGAAUCUUUGAACGCACAUUGCGCCCCAUGGUAUUCCGUGGGGCAUGCCUGUUCGAGCGUCAUUUACCCCCUCAAGCUCCGCUUGGUGUUGGGCGUCUGUCCCGCUUCGCGCGCGGACUCGCCCCAAAGGUAUUGGCAGCGGUCGUGCCAGCUUCUCGCGCAGCACAUUGCGCUUCUCGAGGCACCGGUGGGCCCGCGUCCAUCAAGCUCACCCCCCCAGUUUGACCUCGGAUCAGGUAGGGAUACCCGCUGAACUUAAGCAUAUCAAUAAGCGGAGGA